rnacentral:lncRNA from 1 species
AUAGCUGUAUAUUCCAGUUGUGAGUGCCUCUGGUUGUGCUACUUGGGACGUCUCCUCAGCAUGGCCUGAUGAGCGGUGCCAUGUCCGCGCCUAGGAUGGGAGGAAACCGGUGAAACCCUCGGCCGCAGAAGCAGAGCCCGAGAACUUAACGACUCGGCCACGGGGCUGGCCCCGGAUUUGUUUUUGCCACUUACUAGAUGUGAACUCACCUAGAUCACUCUCUCGGGGAGAAGCCAGUUACCAUGUUAAACAGACACGCAAGCAGCGCUAUGGAGAGACUUAGAUGGUAAAGAACGGAGGCCUUCUGGUGACCACCAGAGAGGAACUGAGGCCUCCUGCAACAGCCUGGUGGAUGGGCCGUCUUAGAAAACGAUUCUUCAGCUCCAGUCAAGCCUCCAGAUAACUGAAGCCCAGGCUGUCACCUCGACUGUGACCCCGUGAGAGAAGCUGAGCCAGAACCACCCAGAGGCAGAAGAGAUGCAGCAGAAGGAGAAGUCAGCGGGAUCCCAAACACGAGAAGGAUUUGCUGCACCGUUGCUGGUCCUGAGAGGUAGGGGGUCACAUGACUGUGUGCUAGAACUGGAGGGACGUCCCUAAAAGCUAAAAGGUGACUGACUGACAGCCAGCAAGGAGACUGGGACGUGAAUAAGCUUGGAAGCAAAUUUUCCCCCAGAACUUCCAGGUAGCUAGUUGUGGGUGGUCCGGUCGCUCCUGCCCUACUGGUUUUCUCCCAUAGCCCAAGGGAUCAUAUUCUCUCAGGAGAGGCUCAUCUUAGCACUGAAUAAUAGCAGCUGUUGAAACAACCUCCACAGCUGAGACAGACGUGCAUUUCUGUGACAUAAAGCAAGAGGCCACAUUCUGACCUGCUCUGGUGAUGAAGAAAUGCUCUUGGAGUUGAGUGCCAGCCCAAUUUUACUGGUGUGGGACACAUCAUUGUGGAAUGGUGGCCGCAGCCAUUCGAUAUUUGAGAUUCCCUCUGGGAGCGAGGAGACGGAAGGGGAGCGUUUGAAGAGGCUGAAGGAGACCUGGAGAGAGAGGUGUCACAAAAGCCAAGUGAAGAGAGGGGCAACAGAAGGAAUGCCAAUUAUGAAAUUAGCCGAGAGUUUAGGCCCAAGAGGCCACUGGCCAAUUAGGGUCUCGCUGGUCAUCUUACAGAGAGCUUCCACCCAAGUCCUGGAGGGAAGAAGCCAGAAGGACAGGUAAAGGCAAAACGAUUGGAGCCCAGUAAUUAGGCUCUUCUAAAAAGAGCAUAAUUCUCUAAGUAGAGAAAGAGACUCAGAAGAGGCUGGAGCAGAUUAACAUAAGAUUAUUCACGAGACACCAAGGCUGGCAAUUUCCUUUCAUUUGUUUUAACCUGUGCUCUGGUCGGAGAGGCCAGUUUCUCUCCAUUUUGUUUCUGAUCUUUGUUUUCCUCUUCCCAUUGUUCUUCUGAGAAAACGAUUCUAUGGGUCUUUAUUAAUAAUUUAUUUUAUACCCUAAAUCAGAAAUAAGACGUUUCUUCAUUUUGCUGUGAAAAUUCCCAGUUCUUAAUAAAUUGUUGAAUUUUUCAUGAGACUCUGCCUUGGGGAAAACCUAUUCCAUGAUACAGUUCUUGAAUGAGAAACACAAAUGUAGACAAUUACAUAAUUAUAAGAAGACAAUUUUACCUCUCCUGUACGACAAUUUAAAUCCUUAGAACAUGACAUGAUUUCACUAAAAAAAAAAACGAGUCUCCUAACUCUCUGGUUCCUUGUUGUAUCUCAGAUCCAGGCAUAGUGCCUUGCACUCAACAAAUAUUCAUCAGUGAAUUAAAGACAUCACCCACUUGGUAUUAAUCACAUGUUGCUUUGUAUUGAAAAUGAAUAUGUUUAGAUCUCACUUCAAAUGAGUACGUUUCUUAAGUGACUAUGUUUAAGACUCCAUCACCAGAUUUUGGUAUCCCUGAGGUCAGGAUCUAUAAAUUUUCUCUCUUUGCAGCCCAGAUCUGGAAUUGCGUAGGUUCAACAAUGCUGCUUGAAUUGUGGAGCGAAUCACAUUAGCCAUAAAAUGGUAGCGCCUGUAUGUGUAUUUACAGCUAAUACUAACUAAAACCUUCCUGCAGGUUUUUUUGUGGGUCCCCUUUAUCGGGAUAAGGAUGCUGCCUUUUGGUCCUAGAUUGACAAAUUAAAAAAAAAAUGAAUGGUUGCUGAAUUUUAUCAAGUGUUCUUUCUAUAGGUGAUCAUGUUUUUUCUCCUUUAUUAACGUGGUAAAUGAUGUUAACUGUUUGCCUAGUGCUAAACUAAUCUUUACUUAUGGAAUAAAACUAACUUGGU